rnacentral:rRNA from 1 species
CGGAGGGUGCAAGCGUUAUCCGGAUUCACUGGGUUUAAAGGGUGCGUAGGUGGGUUGGUAAGUCAGUGGUGAAAUCUCCAGGCUUAACUUGGAAACUGCCAUUGAUACUAUCAAUCUUGAAUACCGUGGAGGUCAGCGGAAUAUGUCAUGUAGCGGUGAAAUGCUUAGAUAUGACAUAGAACACCAAUUGCGAAGGCAGCUGGCUACACGAAUAUUGACACUGAUGCACGAAAGCGUGGGGAUCAAACAGGAUUAGAUACCCUGGUAGUCCACGCCCUAAACGAUGGAUACUCGACAUACGCGAUAUACUUUGUGUGUCUGAGCGAAAGCAUUAAGUAUCCCACCUGGGAAGUACGAUCGCAAGAUUG